CGAUAUAAACUUGGGAGCUUAUAUAUAGGCUGAGAGGGAAGUGUGACUUUCGACCGUUUACCUGAUUUGGAUAAUGCCAACGUAGGGAGAUGUUUUUUUGACUUU
rnacentral:ncRNA from 1 species